UACGGAGGGUGCAAGCGUUGCUCGGAAUUAUUGGGCGUAAAGGGUAGGUAGGUGGUCUCAUUUGUCUGGGGUGAAAGCCUUGAGCUUAACUCAAGAAGUGCCCCAGAAACGGUGAGACUGGAGUCCUGGAGAGGGUCGUGGAAUUCCCGGUGUAGCGGUGAAAUGCGCAGAUAUCAGGAGGAACACCAAUGGCGAAGGCAGCUCGCUGGGACGUGACUGACGCUGAGACGCGAAAGCGUGGGGAGCAAACAGG
rnacentral:rRNA from 1 species